GCGAGGGGGCGGGGCGCGGGGCGGGGCCGUCGGCGCGGGGCUGGCCGAGCUCCGCUGCUUCUGGGCUGCUCCGGCGCUGAGGAGGCAACCGGGAGACAGGGCGUGAGAAGCUUCCCUGGCGCUGUCCAACAUGGAGGAGCUGCCCGGCGCCGGCACAGCCUGCGGACUGGUCUGAGCUCGCCCCACUUCCCCAGGCAGCCGGGAGGGCGCGGAGCCCCCAGGGCUGGGCAGCCUGCACGCCCCGGGGCGGACCCCGGCUGGCGGGGCUCGGACGGCCGCGGGCUUCUGCACCGGGACGUGUCCCGCCGAGCCAUGGGCAACGAGGCGAGCUUGGAAGGGGAAGGGCUCCCCGAAGGGUUGGCGGCGGCCGCAGGCGGGGCUGGCGGCUCCGGGAGCGCCCUGCACCCGGGGAUCCCAGCCGGCAUGGAGGCGGACCUGAGCCAGCUGAGCGAGGAGGAGAGGAGACAGAUCGCUGCUGUCAUGUCAAGGGCGCAGGGGCUGCCCAAGGGAAGCGUCCCCGCGGCCGCUGCGGAGUCGCCCUCCAUGCACAGGCACGCACAGCAUGAUGGAGAGGUCCAAGCAUAUAUAUACCGCUUCCCGUGCACGAAACAAGAGUUGGAUAGUAGUCAGGCUCCACAGCAACCCGGAAAGCCACCGGACCCUGGGCGUCCCCCUCAGCAUGGUCUUAGCAAAAGCAGAACUACGGACACGUUUAGGUCAGAGCAGAAGCUGCCUGGAAGGAGCCCGUCCACUAUUAGCUUGAAAGAAUCCAAGUCCAGAACUGAUUUUAAGGAAGAAUACAAGUCUAGUAUGAUGCCUGGUUUCUUCUCAGAUGUUAAUCCUUUAAGUGCUGUCUCCUCUGUUGUAAAUAAAUUCAACCCUUUUGAUUUGAUAUCAGACUCCGAGGCAGUCCAGGAGGAAACUACAAAGAAACAAAAAGUUGCUCAGAAGGACCAAGGGAAAUCGGAAGGAAUCACAAAACCUUCCUUACAGCAACCAUCACCCAAGUUGAUCCCUAAACAGCAAGGACCAGGGAAGGAAGUGAUCCCGCAGGAUAUCCCCUCCAAGUCAGUAUCCUCCCAGCAAGCAGAAAAAACAAAACCACAAGCCCCUGGCACAGCAAAACCUUCCCAGCAGAGUCCAGCCCAAACACCAGCUCAGCAAGCAAAACCUGUAGCCCAACAGCCUGGACCUGCAAAGGCCACAGUCCAGCAACCAGGGCCAGCAAAGUCCCCAGCUCAACCAGCAGGGACAGGGAAGUCCCCAGCACAACCUCCAGUGACAGCCAAGCCCCCAGCUCAACAGGCUGGCUUAGAGAAGACCUCAUUGCAGCAGCCUGGGCCAAAGUCUCUAGCUCAGACUCCUGGUCAGGGAAAGGUUCCACCAGGGCCAGCAAAGUCCCCAGCCCAGCAGCCAGGGACAGCUAAACUCCCAGCCCAACAGCCUGGCCCACAGACUGCAGCUAAGGUACCUGGGCCUACAAAAACUCCAGCUCAGCUAUCUGGACCUGGAAAAACACCAGCUCAGCAGCCUGGUCCAACAAAGCCUUCACCUCAGCAGCCCAUUCCAGCAAAGCCCCAGCCUCAACAACCUGUUGCCACAAAACCUCAGCCUCAACAGCCAGCCCCAGCAAAGCCCCAGCCUCAGCACCCAACUCCAGCAAAGCCCCAGCCUCAACACCCAACUCCAGCAAAGCCCCAGCCUCAGCAGCCCACCCCAGCAAAGCCACAGCCUCAACAGCCAACUCCAGCAAAGCCCCAGCCUCAACAGCCCACCCCAGCAAAGCCCCAGCCUCAACACCCAACUCCAGCAAAGCCCCAGCCUCAACAGCCAGGCCUGGGAAAACCUUCAGCUCAACAACCUUCUAAAUCAAUAAGCCAAACGGUAACAGGAAGACCUCUGCAAGCACCACCAACUUCUGCAGCACAGGCGCCAGCACAAGGCCUCUCUAAAACCAUCUGUCCUCUUUGCAACACCACUGAGCUUCUGUUGCAUACUCCAGAAAAGGCCAAUUUUAACACAUGUACUGAGUGUCAAAGCACCGUGUGUAGCCUCUGUGGUUUUAACCCCAAUCCUCACUUAACUGAGAUCAAAGAGUGGCUCUGUUUAAACUGUCAGAUGCAAAGAGCUCUGGGAGGUGAACUGGCAGCAAUCCCAUCCUCACCGCAGCCAACCCCAAAGGCUGCCUCAGUACAGCCAGCAACAGCCAGCAAAUCACCUGUACCGUCACAGCAGGCUUCCCCAAAGAAGGAACUUCCAUCCAAACAGGACAGCCCCAAAGCACCGGAGUCCAAAAAGCCACCGCCACUGGUGAAACAGCCAACCCUUCAUGGACCUACCCCGGCUACAGCCCCACAGCCUCCAGUGGCAGAGGCCUUACCUAAGCCAGCCCCUCCCAAGAAGCCUUCUGCAGCCCUACCUGAACAAGCAAAGGCCCCUGUUGCAGAUGUUGAACCAAAGCAACCGAAGACGACAGAGACACUCACAGAUAGCCCAUCUUCAGCAGCAGCAACCUCAAAGCCUGCUAUUCUGAGCUCUCAAGUGCAGGCACAGGCUCAAGUGACAACGGCCCCUCCUUUGAAAACAGACUCUGCCAAAACUUCACAGAGUUUCCCACCAACAGGAGAUACAAUUACCCCACUUGAUUCUAAAGCCAUGCCCAGGCCUGCAUCAGACUCAAAAAUUGUUUCACAUCCUGGGCCCACUUCUGAGAGCAAGGAUCCAGUUCAGAAGAAGGAGGAGCCUAAGAAAGCACAAACCAAGGUGACCCCUAAACCAGAUACAAAGCCAGUACCAAAAGGAUCCCCAACACCGUCUGGCACACGACCUACGACUGGCCAAGCCACACCCCAGUCUCAGCAGCCCCCGAAGCCUCCGGAGCAGUCAAGACGGUUCAGUUUGAAUCUGGGGGGUAUCGCUGAUGCCCCCAAAUCACAGCCCACAACUCCUCAAGAAACUGUGACAGGGAAGCUAUUCGGGUUCGGAGCAUCCAUCUUUAGCCAAGCAUCAAACUUAAUUUCCACAGCAGGUCAGCAAGCACCUCAUCCACAGACUGGGCCAGCUGCCCCAUCAAAGCAAGCCCCUCCCCCAUCCCAGACUCUGGCUGCUCAGGGACCACCCAAGUCCACAGGUCCGCACCCAUCAGCACCUGCCAAGACGACUGCUGUGAAGAAGGAAACAAAAGGCCCGGCAGCUGAAAACUUAGAGGCCAAACCUGUGCAAGCUCCAACAGUGAAGAAGGCAGAGAAAGACAAGAAGCCCCCACCUGGGAAGGUCAGCAAACCUCCACCUACAGAGCCCGAGAAGGCCGUCCUCGCCCAGAAGCCAGACAAGACCACCAAACCCAAACCGGCCUGUCCUCUCUGCAGAACGGAACUCAACGUAGGGUCUCAGGAUCCUCCCAACUUCAACACCUGCACAGAAUGCAAGAAUCAAGUUUGCAAUCUCUGUGGAUUUAACCCAACGCCCCACCUGACUGAGAUUCAAGAAUGGCUUUGUUUAAACUGUCAGACACAGAGAGCAAUAUCAGGACAACUUGGAGAUAUGGACAAAAUGCCACCUGCAUCCUCAGGACCCAAAGCAUCCCCCGUGCCUGCCCCUGCAGAACCCCCACCUCAGAAAACACCAACAGCUGCCCACGCGAAAGGUAAAAAGAAGGAAACAGAAGUAAAAGCAGAAACUGAAAAACAGAUCCCAGAGAAAGAAACACCAUCAAUUGAGAAAACCCCGCCAGCGGUCGCCACAGAUCAAAAACUAGAAGAAAGUGAAGUAACCAAAAGCCUAGUUUCUGUCCUGCCAGAAAAGAAACCAUCCGAGGAAGAAAAAGCCCUGCCUGCAGACAAAAAGGAAAAGAAGCCACCUGCUGCAGAAGCGCCACCACUUGAAGAAAAGAAGCCGAUCCCUGAUGAUCAGAAAUUACCCCCAGACGCAAAACCAUCGGCCUCAGAGGGGGAGGAGAAACGUGAUCUACUUAAAGCUCACGUACAAAUUCCCGAAGAAGGACCCAUAGGCAAAGUGGCUUCACUGGCUUGUGAAGGAGAGCAGCAGCCAGACACCAGGCCUGAAGAUCUGCCAGGCGCCACACCUCAGACGUUACCCAAGGACAGACAGAAGGAAAGCAGAGACGUAACACAGCCUCAGGCAGAAGGCACUGCAAAGGAAGGCCGAGGGGAGCCCAGCAAAGACAGGACAGAAAAGGAAGAGGACAAAUCAGACACUUCCAGUUCUCAGCAACCCAAGAGCCCACAAGGCCUGAGUGACACAGGGUACUCCUCUGACGGAAUAUCCGGCUCUCUUGGGGAAAUCCCCAGUCUUAUACCCAGUGAUGAGAAAGAUUUGCUAAAAGGACUCAAAAAAGACUCGUUCUCGCAAGAAAGCAGCCCUUCCAGCCCCUCAGACUUAGCGAAGUUGGAAAGUACAGUACUGUCCAUUUUGGAAGCUCAGGCAAGCACACUUGUAGGUGAAAAGGCAGAAAAGAAAACACAGCCCCAGAAGGUUUCUCCUGAACAACCUCAGGACCAGCAGAAAACUCAGACUCCAUCCGAAACACGGGAUAUUUCUAUUUCAGAAGAAGAGAUCAAAGAGAGUCAAGAAAAGAAAGUUACUUCAAAAAAGGAUAGCGCACAAGGUUUUCCUUCCAGGAAGGAGCACAAAGAGAAUCCUGAGCUGGUCGAUGACCUAAGUCCGCGAAGAGCAUCCUAUGAUUCGGUUGAAGACAGCAGCGAAAGUGAAAACUCCCCUGUUGCUCGCAGGAAGCGGAGAACUAGCAUUGGCUCAUCAAGCAGCGAGGAGUAUAAGCAGGAAGACAGUCAAGGCUCGGGGGAAGACGAGGACUUCAUUCGAAAGCAGAUUAUAGAGAUGAGCGCUGAUGAGGAUGCUUCAGGCUCUGAGGAUGAAGAGUUCAUCAGGAGUCAGCUCAAAGAGAUUGGUGGUGUUACUGAGAGCCAGAAGAGGGAGGAAACAAAGGGGAAAGGAAAAAGCCCAGCAGGGAAACACAGACGUCUGACUCGAAAGAGUAGUACCAGCUUCGACGAUGAUGCUGGGAGACGCCAUUCCUGGCAUGAUGAAGAUGACGAAACUUUUGAUGAAAGUCCUGAACUCAAAUUCCGAGAAACUAAAAGCCAGGAGAGUGAGGAACUAGUUGUUGCUGGAGGAGGAGGGUUACGUCGAUUUAAGACUAUAGAACUCAACAGUACAGUAACAGAUAAGUACUCUGCAGAAUCCUCUCAGAAAAAGACAACUUUGUAUUUUGAUGAAGAGCCAGAAUUAGAAAUGGAAAGUCUGACGGACUCACCCGAGGACAGGUCUAGAGGAGAGGGAUCCUCGAGUCUCCAUGCAUCCAGCUUCACUCCUGGCACGUCCCCUACAUCAGUAUCAUCACUUGAUGAAGACAGUGACAGCAGCCCAAGUCACAAAAAAGGAGAAAGCAAGCAGCAGCGCAAAGCUCGGCACAGGUCCCAUGGCCCUCUUUUACCUACCAUUGAAGAUUCUUCCGAGGAAGAAGAACUACGAGAGGAAGAGGAGUUAUUAAAAGAGCAAGAGAAGCAGAGAGAACUGGAGCAGCAGCAGAGGAAGAGUUCUAGUAAGAAAUCGAAGAAAGACAAAGAUGAACUUCGAGCUCAGAGGAGGAGAGAAAGACCAAAGACGCCACCCAGUAAUCUCUCUCCCAUCGAGGAUGCGUCUCCCACAGAAGAAUUGCGCCAGGCAGCAGAAAUGGAGGAGCUCCAUAGGUCCUCUUGUUCUGAAUACUCGCCUAGCAUAGAAUCAGACCCAGAAGGAUUUGAGAUAAGCCCCGAGAAAAUAAUAGAAGUUCAAAAAGUUUAUAAAUUGCCCACAGCUGUGUCUUUAUACUCACCAACAGAUGAGCAAUCUGUUAUGCAGAAAGAAGGUGCUCAGAAGGCUUUAAAAAGCGCUGAGGAGAUGUAUGAAGAAAUGAUGCACAAACCCCACAAAUAUAAAGCUUUUCCAGCUGCAAAUGAACGAGACGAAGUGUUUGAAAAAGAGCCAUUGUAUGGUGGUAUGUUAAUAGAGGACUACAUUUAUGAAUCUUUAGUAGAGGACACAUACAAUGGAUCAGUAGAUGGCAGCCUGCUCACCAGGCAAGAUGAACAAAAUGGAUUUAUGCAGCAGAGAGGAAGAGAGCAAAAAAUAAGACUACAGGAGCAGAUUUAUGAUGAUCCUAUGCAGAAAAUCACAGACCUCCAGAAAGAGUUUUAUGAAUUAGAAAGCUUACAUUCUAUUGUGCCUCAAGAAGACAUUGUUUCAAGCUCUUAUAUCAUUCCAGAAAGCCAUGAGAUAGUGGAUCUGGGUAGCAUGGUAACUUCUACCAGCGAAGAAAAGAAACUGUUAGAUGCAGAUGCUGCUUAUGAAGAACUCAUGAAGCGGCAACAGAUGCAAGUAACAGAUGGAUCCAGCCUCAUACAGACUACCAUGGGGGAUGACAUGGCUGAGUCCACUCUGGACUUUGACAGGGUACAAGACGCAUCUUUGACAUCAAGUAUCCUUUCUGGAGCAUCUCUUACAGACUCAACCAGCAGUGCAACUCUCUCUAUCCCAGAUGUUAAGAUAACCCAACAUUUUUCAACAGAAGAAUUUGAGGAUGAAUAUGUAACUGAUUAUACAAGAGAAAUUCAAGAGAUAAUUGCCCAUGAAUCUCUGAUAUUGACCUACUCUGAGCCUUCAGAGAGUGCUACGUCUGUCCCACCUUCUGACACACCUUCUCUCACAUCAUCUAUUUCUUCAGUUUGUACCACAGAUAGCUCCUCACCUGUCACUACCCUCGAUAGCCUAACAACUGUUUAUACGGAGCCAGCAGAUGUAAUAACUAAAUUUAAAGACUCUGAGGAAAUUUCUUCAACUUAUUUUCCAGGCAGCGUUAUCGACUAUCCAGAAGAUAUAGGUGUAUCCUUAGAUCGAACCAUCACACCAGAAAGUAGAACUAACGCUGAUCAGAUUAUGAUUUCUUUUCCUGGUAUAGCACCAUCUAUCACAGAAUCUGUAGCAACUAAACCUGAGAGGCCACAAGCUGACACGAUUUCCACUGACUUACCUAUAUCUGAAAAGGAGUUGAUAAAAGGCAAGAAAGAAACUGGGGAUGGAAUUAUUCUGGAAGUUUUGGAUGCUUACAAAGAUAAAAGGGAAGAGUCUGAGGCUGAACUAACAAAAAUUAGCUUACCUGAGACUGGGUUGGCCCCAACACCUUCUUCUCAAACUAAGGAGCAACCUGGAUCCCCACACUCUGUAUCUGGAGAGAUCUUGGGUCAGGAAAAGCCCACAUACAGGUCGCCGUCUGGCGGUCUUCCUGUUUCUACCCAUCCAUCCAAAUCUCACCCAUUUUUCCGAAGUUCUUCUUUGGACAUAUCAGCCCAGCCACCCCCUCCUCCUCCACCUCCUCCUCCUCCCCCGCCACCCCCUCCUCCUCCCCCACCCCCACCGUUGCCUCCAGCAACUUCUCCUAAGCCACCCACUUAUCCUAAAAGAAAGUUGGCAGCUGCAGCUCCAGUGGCUCCAACUGCUAUUGUUACGGCCCAUGCUGAUGCUAUUCCUACUGUAGAGGCCACAGCUGCCCGCAGGAGCAAUGGGUUACCUGCAACUAAAAUAUGUGCUGCUGCCCCUCCUCCUGUCCCUCCUAAGCCUUCUUCAAUUCCAACUGGACUUGUAUUUACACAUAGACCAGAGGCAAGCAAACCUCCAAUUGCCCCCAAGCCAGCAGUCCCUGAGAUUCCAGUGACUACACAGAAAACAACAGACACGUGCCCCAAACCAACAGGUCUACCUUUAACAUCAAAUAUGUCCUUAAAUUUAGUGACUUCAGCAGACUACAAACUGCCGUCCCCUACCUCUCCACUUUCCCCACACUCGAAUAAAUCCUCACCGAGAUAUUCUAAGUCUCUCAUGGAGACUUAUGUGGUCAUUACAUUGCCCUCUGAACCUGGGACUCCAACAGAUUCUUCUGCUGCCCAAGCCAUUACAAGUUGGCCCUUGGGAUCACCCCCAAAAGAUCUGGUUUCCCUUGAAACGGUAUUUUCUGUAGUUCCUCCCAUGACAUCUACAGAAAUUCCAAGUGCUUCACAGCCAACCCUAUAUACAUCUGGAGCUUUGGGGACAUUUUCUGUUACCCCUGCUGUAACAGCCUCUCUGUUUCAAACAGUACCAACUUCACUUACACAGUUUCUUCCAGCAGAAGCUUCAAAACCCGAAGUCUCUGCAGUGAGUAGUGCAGUCCCAAGUGUUGCUCCCAGGAGUGUUUCCAUACCAAUUCCUCCAGAGCCUCUUGCUCUAGACAGGCAUCAGUAUAAGGAAAAUGGAAAGUUGCCACUUAUUGGAGAUGCCAUUGAUUUGCGUACAAUACCAAAAUCAGAAGUUAAAGUAACUGAAAAAUGUAUGGAUCUUUCUGCUUCUGCAAUGGAUGUGAAAAGGCAGACCACAGCGAAUGAGGUUUACAGGCGACAAAUUAGUGCUGUCCAACCUUCUAUCAUAAACCUCAGUGCAGCUUCCUCCUUAGGAACUCCAGUCACCAUGGACUCUAAGACAGUGGCUGUUGUCACGUGCACAGACACUACAAUUUACACAACAGGCACAGAAAGCCAAGUGGGUAUAGAACAUGCAGUAACAUCACCACUGCAGCUUACUACAUCAAAACAUACUGAGUUACAAUACAGAAAACCUAGUAGCCAGGCUUUUCCCAUGAUUCGAGAUGAAGCACCAAUAAACUUAUCAUUAGGUCCUUCCACUCAGGCAGUAACAUUGGCUGUCACAAAGCCUGUCACUGUACCUCCUGUUGGUGUUACAAAUGGAUGGACUGACAGCACCAUAUCUCAGGGGAUCACUGAUGGAGAAGUGGUAGAUCUCAGCACAUCAAAGUCUCAUAGGACUGUUGUGACAAUGGAUGAAUCUACUUCAAAUGUAGUGACUAAAAUCAUAGAAGAUGAAGAAAAGCCAGUUGAUUUGACUGCAGGAAGACGAGCUGUGUGCUGUGACAUGGUUUACAAGUUGCCUUUUGGACGGAGCUGCACAGCACAGCAGCCUGCAACUACCCUUCCUGAAGACCGUUUUGGUUAUAGGGAUGACCACUAUCAAUAUGAUAGAUCAGGGCCAUAUGGUUACAGAGGGAUUGGUGGAAUGAAACCUUCCAUGUCAGACACUAAUUUAGCAGAAGCUGGACAUUUUUUCUAUAAAAGCAAGAAUGCUUUUGAUUAUUCUGGAGGAACUGAAGCAGCAGUAGAUCUAACUUCAGGGAGAGUGUCUACAGGUGAGGUAAUGGAUUAUUCAAGCAAGACUACAGGCCCAUACCCAGAAACACGCCAAGUCAUUUCGGGAGUUGGGAUUAGUACCCCGCAGUAUUCCACAGCAAGAAUGACUCCACCUCCUGGACCGCAGUAUGGUGUGGGAAGUGUUUUGAGGUCAUCUAAUGGUGUUGUCUAUUCUUCAGUAGCAACUCCAAUCCCCUCCACAUUUGCUAUCACCACUCAACCUGGCUCCAUUUUCAGCACCACGGUCAGGGAUUUAUCUGGCAUUCAUACAACAGAUGCAAUAACUUCAUUAUCAGCCCUGCAUCAAAGCCAGCCAAUGCCUAGAUCGUAUUUCAUAACAACAGGUGCAUCAGAAACAGACAUCUCAGUAACCAGUAUUGACAUCAAUGCCAGCCUGCAAACUAUUACUAUGGAAACUCUUCCUGCUGAGACAAUGGACUCUGUUCCUACCUUAACCACCGCCUCUGAGGUGUUUUCUGAGGUGGUUGGAGAGGAAAGCACUCUUUUGAUUGUCCCUGAUGAAGACAAACAACAACAGCAACUUGACUUGGAGCGAGAGCUCCUGGAACUGGAGAAAAUUAAGCAACAACGCUUUGCUGAGGAACUGGAGUGGGAACGUCAGGAGAUUCAAAGGUUCCGAGAACAAGAAAAGAUCAUGGUUCAAAAGAAGCUAGAAGAGCUGCAGUCUAUGAAGCAGCACCUUCUCUAUCAACAAGAGGAAGAGCGGCAGGCCCAGUUCAUGAUGAGACAGGAGACGCUAGCUCAACAACAGUUACAACUUGAGCAGAUCCAACAGCUGCAACAACAGCUCCAUCAGCAGCUUGAGGAACAAAAACUUCGCCAGAUCUACCAGUAUAACUACGAACCCUCUGGGACUGCUUCUCCACAAACCACCACUGAACAGGCAAUUUUGGAGGGUCAGUAUGUUGCUACAGAGGGCAGUCAGUUUUGGGCCACUGAAGAUGCCACCACAACAGCGUCUACUGUGGUAGCCAUUGAAAUACCACAGAGCCAAGGAUGGUACACGGUUCAGUCUGACGGUGUGACUCAGUACAUUGCCCCACCUGGCAUCUUGAGCACUGUUUCGGAGAUACCUCUGACAGAUGUUGUUGUAAAAGAGGAGAAACAGCCCAAAAAGAGAAGUUCUGGAGCUAAAGUUCGGGGGCAGUAUGACGAGAUGGGGGAAAGCAUGGCAGAUGAUCCACGGAAUUUAAAAAAGAUAGUGGACAGUGGUGUACAAACUGACGAUGAAGAAACUGCUGAUCGGACUUAUGCAAGUAGGAGAAGAAGAACUAAAAAGAGCGUUGAUACCAGUGUCCAAACUGAUGACGAAGAUCAGGAUGAGUGGGAUAUGCCUUCUAGGUCCAGGAGAAAAGCGCGAACAGGGAAAUACGGAGAUAGCACGGCAGAGGGUGACAAGACCAAACCCCCUUCCAAAGUCUCCAGUGUAGCAGUUCAAACAGUCGCAGAGAUAUCUGUGCAAACUGAGCCAUUGGGAACCAUAAGAACACCUUCCAUACGAGCACGGGUGGAUGCCAAGGUAGAAAUAAUUAAACACAUUUCAGCGCCUGAAAAGACUUACAAAGGGGGCAGUUUAGGAUGCCAAACAGAAACAGAUCCAGACACACAGAGCCCUCCAUAUAUGGGUGCCACAUCUCCACCCAAAGACAAGAAACGCCCAACACCUUUAGAGAUUGGUUACUCUUCUUCUCACCUUCGGGCAGACCCCACAGUCCAGCUGGCUCCUUCCCCACCCAAAUCUCCAAAAGUCCUUUACUCACCCAUCUCACCACUUUCCCCAGGCCACGCCUUAGAACCAGCCUUUGUACCUUAUGAAAAACCCCUCCCUGAUGACAUAAGUCCACAGAAAGUACUCCAUCCAGAUAUGGCUAAAGUUCCCCCGGCAAGCCCUAAGACAGCCAAGAUGAUGCAGCGUUCAAUGUCUGACCCCAAGCCUCUGAGUCCAACAGCAGACGAAAGUUCCAGGGCUCCUUUUCAGUAUUCCGAGGGCUUCACGGCUAAAGGUUCCCAAACAACCUCUGGUACUCAGAAAAAAGUGAAGAGAACACUGCCAAAUCCCCCUCCUGAGGAGGCGUCCACGGGAACACAGUCAACUUACAGCACCAUGGGCACUGCUUCUAGGAGAAGAAUGUGCAGAACCAAUACCAUGGCUCGAGCCAAAAUUCUCCAGGACAUAGACCGAGAGCUUGACCUCGUGGAAAGAGAGUCUGCCAAGCUUAGAAAGAAGCAAGCAGAACUUGAUGAAGAAGAAAAGGAGAUUGAUGCCAAGCUACGGUAUCUGGAAAUGGGAAUUAACAGGAGAAAGGAAGCACUAUUGAAGGAGAGAGAAAAAAGAGAGCGUGCCUACCUGCAAGGGGUAGCCGAGGACCGUGAUUAUAUGUCUGACAGUGAGGUCAGCAGUACCAGACCCAGCCGAGUAGAAAGCCAGCACGGCAUUGAGCGGCCAAGAACAGCUCCUCAGACUGAAUUCAGCCAGUUCAUACCACCACAAACACAAACAGAAGCUCAGCUAGUUCCUCCGACAAGUCCUUACACACAAUACCAGUACUCAUCACCCGCUCUUCCCACCCAAGCCCCGACCCCAUACACGCAACAGUCUCAUUUUCAACAGCAGACAUUGUACCAUCAGCAAGUGUCACCUUAUCAGACUCAACCAACCUUCCAAGCUGUGGCCACCAUGUCCUUCACACCCCAGGCUCAACCUACCCCAACUCCACAGCCAUCCUAUCAAUUACCAUCACAGAUGAUGGUGAUACAACAAAAGCCUCGGCAAACCACAUUGUAUUUGGAGCCUAAGAUAACUUCUACCUAUGAAGUGAUUCGCAACCAACCCCUGAUGAUUGCUCCAGUUUCUACUGAUAAUACGUAUGCUGUUUCCCAUCUCGGGAGUAAGUACAAUAGUUUAGACUUGAGAAUAGGUUUGGAGGAAAGAAGCAGUAUGGCAAGCAGUCCAAUAUCAAGCAUAUCUGCAGACUCCUUCUAUGCAGACAUUGACCACCAUACUUCAAGGAAUUAUGUCCUAAUAGAUGACAUUGGAGACAUUACCAAAGGGACAGCAGCUUUGAGCUCUGCAUUUAGUCUCCAUGAAAAGGAUCUGUCCAAAACAGAUCGUCUCCUUAGAACCACUGAGACACGGAGGUCUCAAGAAGUGACAGACUUCCUAGCGCCUUUGCAGACUUCCUCCAGACUGCAUAGCUAUGUGAAGGCAGAGGAGGAUUCGAUGGAGGAUCCUUAUGAGUUAAAGCUUCUGAAACAUCAGAUUAAGCAAGAAUUCCGUAGGGGCACAGAGAGCUUAGAUCACCUUGCUGGUCUCUCACAUUAUUACCAUGCUGAUACUAGCUAUAGACACUUCCCCAAGUCUGAAAAGUAUAGCAUCAGUAGACUCACCCUGGAAAAACAAGCUGCCAAACAAUUGCCUGCAGCCAUACUUUACCAAAAGCAAUCAAAGCAUAAGAAAGCAUUAAUUGACCCUAAAAUGUCUAAGUUUUCACCUAUUCAAGAAAGUAGAGACCUUGAACCUGACUAUCCCACUUACUUGAGUUCUAGCACUUCGUCCAUUGGUGGUAUUUCUUCUAGGGCAAGGCUUCUUCAAGAUGAUAUCACAUUUGGCCUCAGAAAAAAUAUUACAGAUCAACAAAAAUUCAUGGGUUCAUCACUUGGGUCAGGACUGGGCACGUUAGGAAAUACCAUCCGGUCGGCUCUACAGGAUGAAGCAGAUAAGCCAUACAGCAGUGGGAGCAGGUCCAGGCCUUCCUCUAGGCCUUCCUCUGUCUAUGGGCUUGAUUUAUCAAUUAAGAGGGAUUCUUCCAGCUCAUCACUAAGAUUGAAAGCUCAAGAGGCUGAAGCUCUGGAUGUCUCUUUUGGCCAUUCUUCAUCUUCUGCCAGAACUAAGCCCACCAGCUUACCAAUCAGCCAGAGUAGAGGAAGAAUACCAAUUGUGGCCCAGAAUUCAGAAGAAGAAAGUCCACUAAGUCCUGUUGGCCAGCCAAUGGGAAUGGCCAGGGCUGCAGCUGGACCUUUGCCGCCCAUAUCUGCAGAUACAAGGGAUCAAUUUGGAUCAAGUCACUCAUUGCCUGAAGUUCAGCAACACAUGAGAGAAGAGUCACGGACAAGGGGUUAUGACCGUGAUAUAGCAUUCAUCAUGGAUGACUUCCAACAUGCUAUGUCUGACAGUGAAGUUGCGGUUGCAAUGUAUGAUGUUUCCUUGGUCCCCAAAGCCUAUCACUUGCGUCGGGAGGAAACGGAUUGGUUUGAUAAACCCAGGGAGUCUCGGUUGGAAAAUGGCCAUGGUCUGGAUCGGAAACUGCCAGAAAGACUGGUUCACUCUAGACCCCUCAGUCAACAUCAAGAGCAAAUUCUGCAGAUGAAUGGGAAGACAAUGCACUACAUCUUUCCUCAUGCAAGGAUAAAAAUAACCAGAGACUCUAAGGAUCACACAGUUUCAGGUAAUGGGCUAGGAAUUAGAAUUGUUGGUGGUAAAGAAAUUCCUGGACAUAGUGGAGAAAUUGGAGCCUAUAUUGCUAAGAUUCUUCCUGGUGGAAGUGCAGAACACUCAGGGAAACUUAUAGAAGGGAUGCAAGUUUUGGAAUGGAAUGGAAUCCCGUUAACUUCUAAAACAUAUGAAGAAGUACAGAGCAUCAUUAAUCAGCAAAGUGGGGAAGCAGAAAUAUGUGGACCUCAAUAUGUUGUCAGACUCGGAAAAUCCACAGCAUCUGGAACUUCAUGAGCCACCAAAAGUUGUGGAUAAGGCAAAGUCUCCAGGCGUGGAUCCCAAGCAGCUGGCGGCAGAGCUGCAGAAAGUCUCACUCCAGCAGUCCCCACUGGUCAUGUCAUCAGUUGUGGAGAAAGGGGCUCAUGCUCACUCAGGUCCCACAUCGGCAGGAUCCAGUUCUGUUCCCAGCCCCGGGCAGCCAGGGUCACCUUCAGUAAGCAAAAAGAAGCACGGCGGCAGCAAGCCUACUGAUGUGUCCAAGACUGCCUCUCACCCAAUUACAGGAGAGAUUCAGCUUCAAAUCAACUACGAUCUUGGAAAUCUUAUAAUACAUAUUCUUCAAGCAAGAAACCUGGUCCCCAGAGACAACAAUGGCUACUCGGACCCAUUUGUGAAGGUGUACCUACUUCCAGGACGAGGUCAAGUCAUGGUUGUCCAGAAUGCAAGUGUUGAGUACAAGAGAAGGACUAAAUAUGUCCAGAAAAGUCUUAAUCCCGAGUGGAAUCAAACAGUAAUUUAUAAAAGUAUUUCCAUGGAGCAGCUCAUGAAGAAGACCUUGGAGGUGACAGUUUGGGAUUAUGAUAGAUUCUCAUCCAACGACUUCCUUGGAGAGGUAUUGAUUGAUUUAUCUAGCACAUCUCAUCUGGACAACACUCCUCGGUGGUAUCCGCUGAAAGAACAGACUGAAAGCAUUGAGCAUGGCAAGUCUCACUCCAGUCAAAACAGCCAGCAGUCCCCAAAGCCCUCUGUGAUCAAAAGCAGAAGCCACGGUAUCUUCCCCGACCCAUCCAAGGAUAUGCAGGUUCCCACCAUUGAGAAAUCCCACAGUAGUCCUGGUAGUUCAAAAUCAUCAUCUGAAGGCCAUCUCCGAUCUCAUGGACCAUCUCGCAGUCAAAGCAAAACCAGUGUCGCCCAGACCCACCUGGAAGAUGCAGGGGCGGCCAUAGCCGCAGCUGAAGCCGCUGUGCAGCAACUCCGCAUUCAACCAAGUAAAAGACGCAAAUAAAUUCCUCAGCAUGGCAGCUUAAUGUUCAUCUGUUGCCUUCCUCUCCCGCUGUCUUUCUCCAUUUGCUUUCUGUUUUUUGGCAUCCCUGCUCACUCUGUUCUGUCCUUUUGUCUGUGUAAGAACAGUAUCAACAUAUAAAUAUGCUCUUCUUUUAGUUCCUCUUGGUUUUUUCUGUUUUGUUUUUUUAAUUUACAUAGACUGCAAUAAAACUGGCUGUUUCUCCUUUGUUUCCACCAUCCAUCCAACCUGGCUCAUAGUAUUUGGUAGCCGUGUCCGUGAAGUUUGCAGGCAAAGCAGUGUUGUGUGUCUUUUGUGUGCACUUCCUUCUCCUUUAAAACACAGGAAUUAUAAGCACAAGGGACUGCCAGUUUUCUAGCAUUAUCCCCAGUAGAGCAACCAUGGACACACACACACACACACACACACACACACACACACACACACAUUUACAUCAGGUUAGCAAUGAGAUACUUGGACUUGGAAACAUUCAACAUUUGAGCAGAUGCUUAGUGAGACCAACAGUCAAAUCUAGAACCUAGGGUGAAAAGCCAUCUGAGGCAAUGUUUAAAAAAGAAUACGUGCAAAAAGGAGCUUUCCAUGUGUUUCUCCUGAAGAACAUGUGCAGAGAUUUGUAUUCUCAAAACUACGUAUUUUUCCUAUGCAUAUUCGCUGAUGUUUUAAGGCAAUGUAAUCUCAGUGAGGACCAUUGUCUGGUCCACUCUGUUAGAUCACACUUUGUACAGAAGUUUACAAAUUAUUAUUUUUUUUUAUCUGUGGAAUGUUUUCAGCGUCAAGAAGUGCCAUAUCUAGUAGUUUUAGUCAAUUAAAGUCUAGCCAUUGACUUGUCUUAAUCGAUGAGUUUUCAUUCAUGAAAUUUUCUGAUAUAAUUCUAUAAAAACCUGGCUACAGGCACAUUGUCAAUUCCAAGAGGCGUCGGCCAGGUCAUGGAGAUAGUGUGUCAUUUUCUUCAUCCCUCUAGUCCUCAUUCCCAGGAAACAGCCAGUUUUAAUCCCCUUCAGUGCUGUGCAUGUGGUAUCAUUUUGGCAUCUGACAACACAGUUUAAAGAGAGCAAAAGCACACUUCUGUUUGCAUGAAUAACAUUUAAGCUGGUUCCAUCUGAGGAUACACUCUGGGUUUCCAUUUCACCCACACUGCCACAGCAGCACAUAAAAGCGGUCAGUGUAAUCAUGCCAGGAAGCAGCACAGGCACAGCAUAGCAGGCGUCCUCCCCAUUCAAAGAACUCAGUCUGAUAAUCUGCCUCCACCAGCCAAUGGCAACCAAGACCAAAGCCAGCUAGCCCUCAGGAAGGUGAUGUCCGAUGGACCAGUCAAACCAGAAGGAGCAAAGCCUACCAACCACCGGCCUGCAGAGACCUCCGUGUCCACUGGCUCCUCGGGCAGCAGCGUUGGCAGUGGGUAUAGCGUGGACAGUGAAGGAAGCAGCUGUGUGGCAGGGGAGCCUAAUCUACUUCCUAUCCCAAGGAUAGGAAAGAUGGGACAGAAUGGCCAAGACCCUGUGAAACAGCCAGGAAUGGGAGCAGCAGACACGGAGGCUAAAACUCAAGUAAUGGGAGAGAUCAAGCUAGCACUGAAAAAGGAAAUGAAAACCGAUGGUGAACAACUAAUAGUUGAAAUUCUCCAGUGCAGAAAUAUUACCUACAAAUUUAAGUCUCCGGAUCAUUUACCAGAUUUAUAUGUGAAAAUAUAUGUGAUAAACAUUGCCACCCAAAAAAAGGUUAUUAAAAAGAAAACAAGGGUAUGUCGACAUGAUCGAGAGCCUUCCUUCAAUGAAACCUUUAGAUUCAGCCUAAGUCCUGCAGGCCACUCACUUCAGAUUUUACUUUUCUCCAAUGGCGGGAAGUUUAUGAAGAAGACUUUGAUUGGAGAAGCUUGUAUCUGGCUUGACAAAGUGGAUCUGAGAAAAAGAAUAGUCAAUUGGCACAAACUGUUGAUGAGUCCUACUCAAACACAUUGAAGAUGUGUCAGCUCAGGGCGAGGAAGCGGAGCUCCAUAGCCUCAGAUCGAGACUGUAGUUGAACACUACUGUGGUGAUCUAUGCUUUCAGAAGCAAAUGAGGUCAAAACCAAGAAGCAAGUGGAUGGCAUGACUGUGGGAUACAAAGAGACUUUAAAAGUUCACAUGUUGAAGGCAAACCGAUGGAAAUAGGCCAGAGACACUGGAUUGCUCAUAGCUGUGAAGAGAAACUGUGAAAGAUGAUUUGAUUUUUUUUAAAGAUAAAUGUCUUUGAUCAGACUGAGCUAGAACUGUAAAAAGAGGCACAGAGGUUACUAUGGUGUUGAAAGGUAGUGUGAAAGCAAUUGCUUAUACACACCUAACCUUGUUUGAAAAAAAAAAAAAACUGAUGUAAUGAAUCAUGGUUUUCUAAAUAUCAAAACUCCUUGUCUUAUAUUCUCAUAAAACUUCCUGUUCUGGAAUUCUGACAUAAGAUUAAAUUCUGAGUUGUCUAUAGGACCAGAAGGUGACUGUGUUUGUGGGGGAAAUUAAACCAGAAUGAUGAACAAUGGAUUUUAGGUUACAAGGUGCAUGCUUUCCCUAUGUCUGUGUUAGAAAGCUGUACAACAGUAGGUCUGAAUUCUACGUGGCAAAGCACAUCAGUUUUGCUGUAAUUUACAAUAGUGAAGAGUGAAGAUAAUAGUAGGUUAAAAAUGAAAUUGUAUUUAUCCAGAAAUAAAAUAAAAAUUAGAGACUGGAUAUUAAAGAAGAAUGUUAACCCACAAAAUAUGUACCUUGGUUGAAAACAUUACAGCCUCCAUAAUUUUCAUCAAGUCAAGGUGUUCUCAAUUGUACACAACAAGGUACCUAGAUUAAUUUGUGUGCCCUAAGAAAAGGGUUGCUUGUUCUCUGAGGAACUGCUAUUACAUGUAUCAUAUUGCUUAUUUCCUUUCUCUUGCAUAAUGUACUGUCAGAGACGUAAAAUUAUUGUUCUGCAGACAAACUAUAUUUGUCAUAUAACAUUGAUUAAACUCUUGUCAUUUCCUGAUUUUCCAUGUUUUUUCUCUAAACGCAAUGCCUACAUAAUGAAAAUUCUGAUAUCAAUUCUCUUAUUCUGCUUUCUUGCUAGUGAUAUCAGAAUUAGAAAUCUCCUAUGAUAGAAAGGAAUGUAAAAAGUCAAUAUUUGCCGGGCAGUGGUGGCGCACGCCUUUAAUCCCAGCACUUGGGAGGCAAAGGCAGGCAAAUUUCUGAGUUCGAGGCCAGCCUGGUCUACAAAGUGAGUUCUAGGACACCCAGGGCUACACAGAGAAACCCUGUCUCAAAAAACCAAAAAAAAAAAAAAAAAAAAAGGUCAAUGUUUGAAAUUAAACCAUAUUUGACUUAUAUUAAUAAUAUUGACUCAAACAACCAGUAUAUGAAUCAUCAAGAUGAAGCAUUCUCUUUCCCAUCAACCGCCAAUGCCCAUAAAGAAAGUAACACAGAAAUUGUGGGAAACACACUCAGCUGGGAUGAAAAUCCUGGUUUCUAGCCCUGAUUUUACUCCUUACUUUGCACAUAUUAACUUGCAAAUGUCAUUUAAAUUCACUUUCCCCUGAAAUAAUGAUGUAUAAAAAGAUAUGAGAUAGGAAAGCACAUUCGCAAAUAUAGCUUUAUAUAUAAAUGGAGAGUUAAUGAUUAUGUAGGUUUUUAAUUCUCAGAUUUUAUAUGUGAGAAACAACUGCAAAGCAUUGGUGAGCAUCAGCAUGGGAAGACAGUAAAUUGUUCCACAACUCAUUUGUGUUUCGACAUCAGCUUCCAUUUAAUAUGAAGAAGAUUGAAUAGUAAGUAACAGUUAUUUGCCACACCAAACUUAUUAAAGUACAUGGUUAUAACCCCAUUCCCAAACCCUACCCAAAAUAAACUAAAUUGCUUUGUGGACUUUUUAAGCUGAAAAAUGUUGCUUUAUUUAAGAUGAAAUUCUAGUAGGAUUACAGGAAAUCAUCUCAAACUUAUUGGUUGGGUAUUGAAUUUUCUCAUGUUCUGGAGAAAAACAUUAAAUUUUAAAACAACGUAAAACACUAGGAGUAAAGAAUUUCUAGUAUAUGAUAAGUUGUAUAUCUUACACUGAUUUAAAUAAUAUAUAAAUUCACAUUGGUUGUCCUAAAUUACCACCACUCUCUUCCCUCCAUCUUUUGGUCCCUCCUCCCAGAUAAUAUUAUGCCAUUUACCACUAAUGGUCUUCUAAACUGAACAAUGGGAGAUGCAAAUUUUCAGAACUAGGGUAUUGCUACCAUUUUAGUUUUAGAGACUACUCGAUCUGCUGGUGCUUUCCAUGGAUGUUUCCAGCAGACAAAUGCUUGGAGAAGCCUAUAACUCAGCACAAUGGAGGGGGGAAGAAGUGUAAGAGGAUCCUCUGAUAUCAAAAGGCUCUGCCAUUUGCUUUUCACAGUAGGCUCUGGUUCAUCCCUGAUUCUGUUCCGCAGCACUGGUACUCCAAGGGUUCCCUGAAAGGUUGUAUAGCAUGGUAGCUUACUCCAUUCUAGUUACACCUUACACAGAGGGACCACCAGAGCGAGAUUAUCCUGAGCUAUUAAGCCUGAAAGAAUGGAAGGCUUCCUAAUACCGCUUCCCUUCCAUUCUAAAAAGCUGGCGAUUGGGGUUAGAUCAAUCAGACCAAUCAAGGAAGUCAUUGUUGGAGCUUGUGAUCAUGCGCCAGCAUUCCCCUUGAGAAACAAAGAUGCUGCCAGUGUGCCAAGUUUGCAGCUGACGAAACUCCUAGGUUGUAACUAGAAUCGCUCUAUGCAACACCAGUUCUUAUAUGAAUGCACUUCUGAGGGACGCUGAUUGCCCUUCUCACAACAAAACUAUUCCUUUUUUAAUUGCAAAUAGGGCUCUUAGUAUUUUUUACUUUUUUGUAAAUAACAUGAUAUAUGAUUUUUCAUUUAUAUUUUAUUUUAUGUUAUUAGAAAUUAGCUUUUUUAUCUUAAUAGUAACAGUUUAUAAUCUCUAAUUACUGGAUAAGUAAUCUUGAAACACUCAAACCUUGAGAAGCAUUUCAUUUCCCUACUAGUCCAUUGAGUCAUCAGGGAUGAAAAUUACUUGUUGGUUUAAAUUUAGUACUAAGAAGUCUUUCAACAGAGAAGAAAAAGCACAGAGUGAAUUUUUAUAAAAGAUGGGAAAUUAUAGAAUCAUUAUUAUAGAUAAAGAUAACACUAGUAGCAAGAAGUUGGUGUUUUCUCUGAUUUUACUUAAUAUUAAGAAAAGUUUUGAUGACUCUGAACUCAUUUGAUUACCAUUUGUGUUUUAAAAGUACAGUGCUCAACAUUAAGGAAUAGUAAUUGCCCUUGAUCCUUAAUAUGGUCCAUAUUUUAAUAGAUCAUGAUAGUUAAGUAUACAUUCUCUGCAUUUCUAUGAGGUUGACUGGGGGAAUCAUACACACUAGACUAGUUGUAUCCUGGGAAUAUUAUAGCUGGUAACCAGCUGAUAUUGAUUCUCACUAUAGAAUGGUUGUUAUGAUGUUGGUGGUAGUGGUAGUAACAAAAGUGGUGGCAGUGAUAUGGAGUAAAAUGAAUUAUUUGUUACUAUAUUGUGCCCAGUUUCUUAGAGAUGAUUUAAUCAAUACUUCAUUUCAUUCAAGUAUCAUAAAGAUGUUUAUAGUAUUUUUUUACUUUAUUAUUUAAAUCAUAACUAACAAUAUUUUUAAAAACUUAUUUUAAUUGCUAUAAUGUCAAAUAGUUCAAAAUUAGCCAACUCCAGCUAUACGUGUUUAUAACUAUAUGUAUGGCAGACAUGACUUUCCCUCCUUUUGAGUUUGAACUGAAAGUGAAAGCUCAGUAAAUAAUCCUGCGCUUUUCCCUUAAUAAUUAUUUGCCUUUAGUGUAACACAAGAAUGAAUGAAUGAGUGAAUCAUAUAUUCUCAUUGACUAUGACAUAUUGAUGUUUUCUGUAUGUCUCAUGUGACUAUUAUUGAAGAUUCACAUUAAACAAAUGUCAUUUAACCAAGUUCUUUAUCUGAUAGGUAGACUGAGAGCAUUUUCUGAGUCUGUUAUCCUGUAUAUAACUAGACAUUUGGUAACACAGCAAACUGUAGAGCUAUCCUCAUCCUUUGGAAGUCAGCAUGUGACUGUGAUUAUCAUUCGACUGUGUCCGUAUAUCUGUUUCGUGAUGUGCUCAGGUGCUCCCAAUACUGAUUAAUGUGUGUGCUAAUAACACAUCUGUUUAAAAUGGUGUUUCUUGUCUAAGAAAAGUUUAAAACUUAAUAAAAUUUAUUUCCAAUAAAACAUGAAGUUCUUGGAGAUGCCUCUCGUUUCUGACGAUAUGUUGCAUGCUUUCUUGGUGGUUUGCUAAUAUUUUUAUUAUUUUUCUUGUUUACCAAACAGUUUGAAAAAUUUAAUGAACAAAUGCUAAUUCUUGGGCUAGUAGUUGUAUAAACUGACCUGAAAUAAAUGAGAAUUGUGUAGAGACAAAAUGCUUGUAAAUCUGUCUUCAGUUUUAUUCUAUGUAAAAACAUGUCUUGGUUUUGUGACUGUACACAGAUAUAUCUUAAUAACUUAAUGUAAACUGUGCCGUAUAAAGGUUGUUGUACCAGCCUUACUAAUAAAUACUGAAACUAUCAACUUUGA